CCUACGGGGGGCUGCAGUCGAGAAUCUUCCGCAAUGGGCGAAAGCCUGACGGAGCGACGCCGCGUGACUGAUGAAGUCCUUAGGGACGUAAAGGUCUUUUAUGAGGGAGAAAGUUUAUUGAUAGUACCUCAGGAAUAAGAGGCUCCAAACUCUGUGCCAGCAGGAGCGGUAAUACAGAGGCCUCAAGCGUUAUCCGGAAUUAUUGGGCGUAAAGGGUGUGUAGGUGGUCUUGUUAGUCUUUUGUCAAAUUCUUCGGCUUAACCGGGGGCUCGCGAAAGAAACGGCAAGACUCGAGUGUGCAAGGGGUGUACGGAACUCAUGGAGUAGGGGUGAAAUCCGUUGAUAUCAUGGGGAACACCAAAAGCGAAGGCAGUACACUGGUGCAUUACUGACACUGAAACACGAAAGCGUGGGUAGCGAAUGGGAUUAGAUACCCCUGU
rnacentral:rRNA from 1 species